AGUGAACGCUGGCGGUAGGCCUAACACAUGCAAGUCGAACGGCAGCACAGUAAGAGCUUGCUCUUACGGGUGGCGAGUGGCGGACGGGUGAGGAAUACAUCGGAAUCUACUUUUUCGUGGGGGAUAACGUAGGGAAACUUACGCUAAUACCGCAUACGACCUACGGGUGAAAGCAGGGGAUCUUCGGACCUUGCGCGAUUGAAUGAGCCGAUGUCGGAUUAGCUAGUUGGCGGGGUAAAGCCCACCAAGGCGACGAUCCGUAGCUGGUCUGAGAGGAUGAUCAGCCACACUGGAACUGAGACACGGUCCAGACUCCUACGGGAGGCAGCAGUGGGGAAUAUUGGACAAUGGGCGCAAGCCUGAUCCAGCCAUACCGCGUGGGUGAAGAAGGCCUUCGGGUUGUAAAGCCCUUUUGUUGGGAAAGAAAAGCAGCAGGUUAAUACCCCGCUGUUCUGACGGUACCCAAAGAAUAAGCACCGGCUAACUUCGUG
rnacentral:rRNA from 1 species